UACAGAGGGCGCGAGCGUUGUCCGGAAUCACUGGGCGUAAAGGGCGCGUAGGUGGCGGCGUAAGGCCGCGGUGAAAGUUCGGGGCUCAACCCUGAAUCGGCCGCGGCGACUGCGUCGCUUGGGCACUGUAGAGGCAGAUGGAAUUCCGGGUGUAGCGGUGGAAUGCGUAGAGAUCCGGAAGAACACCGGUGGCGAAGGCGGUCUGCUGGGCAGUGGAGUUGCAAGACUCCGUAGCCGACACUGAGGCGCGACAGCGUGGGGAGCAAACAGG
rnacentral:rRNA from 1 species